AGUCAGGCGGGCGCUUGGCAGCCCGAGAGACCCGCGAAGCCCGCGGACUUAGGUAGGACCUAAUGCUAGGCAAGACCCGCCUCCUAGCCGGGACGCGUCCCGUCACUUGCGUCUGAACCUAGCGUGGCAGCAGGUCUCUGAGCAGUCUUCUUGAGGUGAGACUGUGCUUGCGCUCGGCUUUCCGCCUGGCCUUUCCCCCAGCGAGAGUCGCGCUUCCGUCCCCACCUUUUUCGCGGUGCCGGCGGCCAUCCCCCUCCUCGGGGACUGGAGUUGGAGAGAACACAACCGAAGAAAGCUCUUCCGGUGGGGUCCUCCAGUACCAACGCAUUCGGCGCUGUGACUUGGACUAGCUUUCUGUGUAGCUCUCACAGCCGUAUCACCUGUGUUUUUAGUUUACCGUCGCAGAGUAACCAACUGUUUCCUUGUCUGUGUAGGCAGUGUUUGUUGUUCACUUGCUUUUCCUGUAGCCGGGUUGGCAGUACAGAGAUUUAGAACCGACGUGGGUUUACCCCAUUCCUGCUACUGGGAGUGGGACUCAAUCGUGUGAUCUUUUGGGACUUGAGUUUGGGGGGAGUUGAGAUAUUCCAAUUUACUGCUUGGUGAACCAAUGCUCCAGAGGAUCUAAGAACCAAAAGAUUUCACAAUGGCUUCCAUCUUGACUUACACUUUUAAAAGUCUUUGCAGUAUGUCAAAAUGGGCCUACAGAUUUUGGAAAUUUAAUUUGAGCUGUUCGUCCCAGCUACAAGCUGCCCCAGCUGUCCAUACCAAAUCGAAGAAAACCUUAGCCAAAUCCAAUAUAAGGAAUAUUGUCGUGGUGGAUGGCAUUCGCAUUCCAUUUUUACUAUGAGGCAAUUUCAGAAUUGGAGUUGAUGGGCUCAUCCAAACCUUGGCACAGUACAAUGUCAAGUGUGUGGAAUCAGAAUGAUCCUAGACCUGCACAGAAAUUCCCUAGAAUCAAACUACAGUUCUCCUUAGGCUUUUCUGCCACUUUUUGUCCCCAAGUAAGGCCCAUUCUCUCCAAAAGCUGAUAAUGGACUUGGGUUAUUAGGUUCAAACUAAAUGAAGUACUAGUUCUCUUCUGUUUAGAUUGUUUUGGUGUUUAUAUUUUGGACAAGUCAUUAAUCUAAAAAUAUACUGGGGGUAUGUUUGGUAUCUGCUAGAAAUAAUAAGACCUAUCUUUACAUACUAAUAUGGAAAUGAUCUAGAAGAUACGUUAAGUAUAAAAAGCAAAGUGCGGAGCACUGUGCAUAAUGCCAUCAUUUGUGCACGAUACACACCUGUGUGUAUGUGUGUGUGUAUACAAAUGUACACAAAUAAUAAAUGUUUUUUAUAAACAGAUGGUUUGAGGCCUAGAGAGUGUUUUCUUAUGGAAAUAGUGCUGUAAAUGUAUGGUAGUGAAGUUUCUUCAUUCACCUUCUCUUCUGAAUACGGUGUAACCCAUUUCUUUCUGUAAUCUCUUUCCUAUACUGACGCUUCAGCAGUACGAGUAAGAAUCUGAAUCUUUAGCAGCAGGAGAGUGAGGACAGAGGAUCCUCCUUGUACUCAGCAGCUGCACAGUAGGAAGAGAAACUUCCAUCAAGAAUGCUACCUUCCUUUUGUCUAGGAGGAUGGAUCUGUUGCAGCCCCUCAAAGAUCUGUGUUGAACAACUGGGGUGGAUCACUGUCUCUGGGCCACCCGUUUGGAGGCACUGGCUGUCGGCCGGUCAUGGCAGCUGCCAACAGGUUACGGAAGGAAGGAGGCCAAUAUGGCUUAGUGGCUGCCUGUGCAGCUGGAGGGCAGGGCCAUGCUAUGAUAGUAGAAGCUUAUCCAAAAUAAUAGAUCAAGAAGAGGCAACCUGAAUUUCUGUGUAACAUUCACACUAGGCAAUGCCAUUUCAAUGCAUUACUAAAGGAGAUGUAUAGUUUCUAGCUCCUCUGAGGAAAACAAAUAUAUGGCCUUCUGGUAAACGCUCUGCAGUAGCUUUGCUGGUGUUCUGAGCUUUCCAAUAAUCACAGCUUACUGCUUUCAGGGAUUUCUUAGUCACCGGAAUCUCACCCAGUGGUACGCUGAAGCAAUCGCUUUUGGUCUCUCUUUUCAUUAAAGGCUUAGUGAGUGGUUGCAGCUUGGGAAAGAAGUUAAUUAGAUUCGGAAUCAUCUUUGUAACAUUUGCAAAUUAUGCUCAUUCCUAUUUAUCACCUAAAGAUAAGUGUUUUCUAGAAAAUACACACCAGUGUGCCUACAUGAACUUAAGUAUGGAAAGAUAAUUUAGAAUCUAAACGUCACUGAAAACUUAACAGUAAAUGUUUAGAUACAUAAAUACCAUGUUUGUUAACCUUAAUAAAAUGGAAAAGUAUUGGACAA